AUUGAACGCUGGCGGCAGGCUUAACACAUGCAAGUCGAGCGGGGUGAUGGUGCUUGCACUAUCACUUAGCGGCGGACGGGUGAGUAAUGCUUAGGAAUCUGCCUAUUAGUGGGGGACAACAACUCGAAAGGGAUGCUAAUACCGCAUACGUCCUACGGGAGAAAGCAGGGGAUCACUUGUGACCUUGCGCUAAUAGAUGAGCCUAAGUCGGAUUAGCUAGUUGGUGGGGUAAAGGCCUACCAAGGCGACGAUCUGUAGCGGGUCUGAGAGGAUGAUCCGCCACACUGGGACUGAGACACGGCCCAGACUCCUACGGGAGGCAGCAGUGGGGAAUAUUGGACAAUGGGGGGAACCCUGAUCCAGCCAUGCCGCGUGUGUGAAGAAGGCCUUAUGGUUGUAAAGCACUUUAAGCGAGGAGGAGGCUCUUUUGGUUAAUACCCAAGAUGAGUGGACGUUACUCGCAGAAUGAGCACCGGCUAACUCUGUGCCAGCAGCCGCGGUAA
rnacentral:rRNA from 1 species